rnacentral:rRNA from 1 species
GACGAACGCUGGCGGCGUGCUUAACACAUGCAAGUCGAACGAAAAGAGGGAAAGAGCUUGCUCUUUCCGGAAUUGAGUGGCAAACGGGUGAGUAACACGUAAACAACCUGCCUUCAGGAUGGGGACAACAGACGGAAACGACUGCUAAUACCGAAUAAGUUCCAAGAGCCGCAUGGCCCAUGGAAGAAAAGGUGGCCUCUACCUGUAAGCUAUCGCCUGAAGAGGGGUUUGCGUCUGAUUAGCUGGUUGGUGGGGUAACGGCCCACCAAGGCGACGAUCAGUAGCCGGUCUGAGAGGAUGAACGGCCACACUGGAACUGAGACACGGUCCAGACUCCUACGGGAGGCAGCAGUGGGGAAUCUUCCGCAAUGGGCGAAAGCCUGACGGAGCAACGCCGCGUGAGUGAUGACGGCCUUCGGGUUGUAAAACUCUGUGAUCCGGGACGAAAAGGCAGAGUGCGAAGAACAAACUGCAUUGACGGUACCGGAAAAGCAAGCCACGGCUAACUACGUG